rnacentral:rRNA from 1 species
UACGGGGGGGGCGAGCGUUGUUCGGAAUUACUGGGCGUAAAGGGUUUGUAGGUGGUCUGCUAAGUCAGACGUGAAAUCCCUCAGCUUAACUGGGGAACUGCGUCUGAUACUGGCGGACUUGAGGACAGGAGAGGAACGCGGAAUUCCAGGUGUAGCGGUGAAAUGCGUAGAUAUCUGGAGGAACACCGGUGGCGAAGGCGGCGUUCUGGACUGUGUCUGACACUGAAAAACGAAAGCCAGGGGAGCAAACGGG